rnacentral:rRNA from 1 species
CCAGAAGCGGGGGACAACAUUUGGAAACAGAUGCUAAUACCGCAUAACAGCGUUGUUCGCAUGAACAACGCUUAAAAGAUGGCUUCUCGCUAUCACUUCUGGAUGGACCUGCGGUGCAUUAGCUUGUUGGUGGGGUAACGGCCUACCAAGGCGAUGAUGCAUAGCCGAGUUGAGAGACUGAUCGGCCACAAUGGGACUGAGACACGGCCCAUACUCCUACGGGAGGCAGCAGUAGGGAAUCUUCCACAAUGGGCGCAAGCCUGAUGGAGCAACACCGCGUGAGUGAAGAAGGGUUUCGGCUCGUAAAGCUCUGUUGUUAAAGAAGAACACGUAUGAGAGUAACUGUUCAUACGUUGACGGUAUUUAACCAGAAAGUCACGGCUAACUACGUGCCAGCAGCCGCGGUAAUACGUAGGUGGCAAGCGUUAUCCGGAUUUAUUGGGCGUAAAGAGAGUGCAGGCGGUUUUCUAAGUCUGAUGUGAAAGCCUUCGGCUUAACCGGAGAAGUGCAUCGGAAACUGGAUAACUUGAGUGCAGAAGAGGGUAGUGGAACUCCAUGUGUAGCGGUGGAAUGCGUAGAUAUAUGGAAGAACACCAGUGGCGAAGGCGGCUACCUGGUCUGCAACUGACGCUGAGACUCGAAAGCAUGGGUAGCGAACAGGAUUAGAUACCCUGGUAGUCCAUGCCGUAAACGAUGAGUGCUAGGUGUUGGAGGGUUUCCGCCCUUCAGUGCCGGAGCUAACGCAUUAAGCACUCCGCCUGGGGAGUACGACCGCAAGGUUGAAACUCAAAGGAAUUGACGGGGGCCCGCACAAGCGGUGGAGCAUGUGGUUUAAUUCGAAGCUACGCGAAGAACCUUACCAGGUCUUGACAUCUUGCGCCAACCCUAGAGAUAGGGCGUUUCCUUCGGGAACGCAAUGACAGGUGGUGCAUGGUCGUCGUCAGCUCGUGUCGUGAGAUGUUGGGUUAAGUCCCGCAACGAGCGCAACCCUUGUUACUAGUUGCCAGCAUUAAGUUGGGCACUCUAGUGAGACUGCCGGUGACAAACCGGAGGAAGGUGGGGACGACGUCAGAUCAUCAUGCCCCUUAUGACCUGGGCUACACACGUGCUACAAUGGACGGUACAACGAGUCGCGAACUCGCGAGGGCAAGCAAAUCUCUUAAAACCGUUCUCAGUUCGGACUGCAGGCUGCAACUCGCCUGCACGAAGUCGGAAUCGCUAGUAAUCGCGGAUCAGCAUGCCGCGGUGAAUACGUUCCCGGGCCUUGUACACACCGCCCGUCACACCAUGAGAGUUUGUAACACCCAAAGUCGGUGGGGUAACCUUUUAGGAGCCAGCCGCCUAAGGUGGGACAGAUGAUUAGGGUGAAGUCGUAACAAGGUAGCCGUAGGAGAACCUGCGGCUGGAUCACCUCCUUUCUAAGGAA